AUUGAACGCUGGCGGCAGGCCUAACACAUGCAAGUCGCACGAGUGGCGGACGGGUGAGUAAUGUCUGGGAACCUGCCUGAUGGAGGGGGCUAACUACUGGAAACGGUAGCUAAUACCGCAUACCAUCGGAUGUGCCCAGAUGGGAUUAGCUAGUAGGUGGGGUAAAUGCUCACCUAGGCGACGAUCCCUAGCUGGUCAGAGAGGAUGACCAGCCACAUUGGAACUGAGAAACGGUCCAGACUCCUACGGGUGGCAGCCGUGGGGAAUAUUGCACAAGGGGCGCGAGCCUGAUGCAGCCAUGCCGCGUGUAGGAAGAAGGCCUUCGGGUUGUAAAGUACUUUCAGCGGGGAGGCGUUACCCGCAGAAGAAGCACCGGCUAACUCCGUGCCAGCCGCCGCGGUAAUUC
rnacentral:rRNA from 1 species